ensembl:rRNA 5S_rRNA 5S ribosomal RNA
GCUUACGGCCAUACCACCCUGAGAACGCCCGAUCUCGUCUGAUCUCGGAAGCUAAGCAGGGUCGGGCCUGGUUAGUACUUGAAUGGGAGACCGCCUGGGAAUACCCGGUGCUGUAAGCU